rnacentral:misc_RNA from 1 species
AACCUUAUGGACCUGCGGGCGUAUACCUGCGGAAGGAUCAUUACCGAGUUUACAACUCCCAAACCCCUGUGAACAUACCUAUACGUUGCCUCGGCGGAUCAGCCCGCGCCCUGUAAAAAGGGACGGCCCGCCCGAGGACCCUAAACUCUGUUUUUAGUGGAACUUCUGAGUAAAACAAACAAAUAAAUCAAAACUUUCAACAAUGGAUCU